rnacentral:rRNA from 1 species
UACGAAGGGGGCUAGCGUUGCUCGGAAUCACUGGGCGUAAAGGGCGCGUAGGCGGGUUAUUAAGUCAGAGGUGAAAUCCUGGAGCUCAACUCCAGAACUGCCUUUGAUACUGAUAGUCUUGAGUAUGGGAGAGGUGAGUGGAACUGCGAGUGUAGAGGUGAAAUUCGUAGAUAUUCGCAAGAACACCAGUGGCGAAGGCGGCUCACUGGCCCAUUACUGACGCUGAGGCACGAAAGCGUGGGGAGCAAACAGG